GAGCCCGUAGUCUAGCUGGCUAUGACGUCGCGCUUACACCGCGAAGGUCGAGAGUUCGAAUCUCUCCGGGCUCA
rnacentral:tRNA from 1 species